CUGACCAAGAGGAUCUUCCUUGAUUCUCAAGUCAGUGGGACAGGAUUUCUUGUGAUCCUUUGUUCUGCUGACAUCGCUUGCUUGCAUUGUCCAUGAGAUGUUCAGGUGGGGGGGUCAGAAGUGGGGGGCUUAAAUCCUAGGGAAGAUUGACAGAUUUUUUUUUUUUUUUUUUUUUUUUUUUUUUUUUUUUUUUUUUUUACUUUCCCCAGUGAUAAGGGCACUAUUUUCCAAGAACAUCCUGCACCUAAUCAAUAGUUUGCUGUUCACGACUCCUCCAGCACCGGCUUGGUCUCUCUGGUAUUCUGCCUGCAACAUGCAGUUUAAUCUCCUCAAAAGAUGUACUUCCUCUACCUCCCCCUGCCCAGCUGUGCCUCGUCAGGAGAUGUCAGACCUGCAAGCUGAAAUGUCA
rnacentral:lncRNA from 12 species